rnacentral:rRNA from 1 species
AUACGGAAGGUCCGGGCGUUAUCCGGAUUUAUUGGGUUUAAAGGGAGCGCAGGCGGAGAUGCAAGCGUGACGUCAAAUUUCGGGGCUCAACCCCGUCUCGCGUCGCGAACUGCGUCCCUUGGUUGCGGGAAGGGGAGGCGGAACUCGUGGUGUAGCGGUGAAAUGCAUAGAUAUCACGAAGAACUCCGAUCGCGAAGGCAGCCUUCCGGCCCGUCAACGACGCUCAUGCUCGAAGGUGCGGGUAUCAAACAGGAUUAGAUACCCUGGUAGUCCGCACAGUAAACGAUGGACACCCGCGGUUUGGCCUGUAUGGCUGAGCCGCCAAGCGAAAGCGUUAAGUGUCCCACCUGGGGAGUACGCCGGCAACGGUGAAACUCAAAUGAAUUGACGGGG